GUCCUUUAGAAUUUAUUAUUUAAGGUCUAACCUGCCCACUGAAUUAUUUUAAAUGGCCGCAGUAAAUUGACUGUGCAAAGGUAGCAUAAUCAUUAGUUUUUUAAUUAAAAGCUUGUAUGAAUGGUUUGACGAAAUAAAAUCUGUCUCUAAAUAAUAAAAAGAAUUUAAUUUUUAAGUUAAAAAGCUUAAAUUUUAUUAAAAGACGAGAAGACCCUAUAGAUCUUUAUAUUAAAAUUAGUAAUUUUAUUUAGGAUUUUUUUUAUAGUUAUUAUUUUUAUUAUUUUGUUGGGGUAAUAGAAAGAUUAAAUAAAUUCUUUUUAAUUUUAUACAAUAAUAAUUGUUUAAUUGAUCCUUAAUUUGAGAUAAUAAGAUUAAGUUACCUUAGGGAUAACAGCGUAAUUUUUUUAGAGAGUUCAUAUCGAUAAAAAAGUUUGCGACCUCGAUGUUGGAUUAAAAAUUAUUCUAGGUGUAGAAGUUUAGAAAUUUUGGUCUGUUCGACCAUUAAAUUUUU
rnacentral:rRNA from 1 species